UAUCCGCCCCGGGGCGGGGCUUCCCUCCGCUCCGUGCGGUCCUUUCCCCUGCGGCCUCUGCUCUGGCGGGAGUACCCCGGCCGAGCUCCCAGACACGUGCGGAGGGGGACAGGCAUGGGCUUUGGACAGAGGCAGCCCCAGGAUGACUUGAAAGUAGGGCAUCAUUGGCCCUCCUGAAGAGAGGAAAUUAGUGGCUGGUGAACAGUCGGUAUGGCAUUCUCAGAUGCCUUUACCUGAGAGAGAAAUCUGCCUCCAUCAGGACCUCAGAUGUCUGACAGCCCUAUGUGACACCAGGAUAGGUAAUAUAGUCCCUUUUGUUGGGAUAUUCCUGUAAAUAAACUGCAGGACAUGUGGUGCUUUGCAACACUGACAACAUUUACUGCGUGUUGAUGAUGUGCCAGAAUUGUAAACUCAUUCUACAUAUCUUAAUCCUCUCAUCAGGCGUACAAGAGAAAGAAUGUGGUGGGAAGCGGGAGAGAGAGAAUCUUAAGCAGGCUCCAGGCCCCUGCAGAUCCCAGUGUUGGACUCCAUCUCACCAGCCUGAGAUCAUGACCUGAAUGAAGAGUUGGACCUUCAACCUAAUGAUCCAACCAGCCACAUUCUUCACCAUCCCUGGUGCACAACUCACCUACUCCCAAGUCACCCAAAACAGUAUAGAGCUCUUGAUUCAUCUCUACUCACAGCCAGACCCACCUUGAGGCCAGACUCCUUGUCCAUUCGCCAUCAGACUACGAUCCUCAAGAGUUGGCAAUUGGUCAUUGAAUCCCUACCCUUGUACUGUGUCCCUCAUGAAAUAGGCAUUUGAUGACUGAAAUCUUGUAUUAAGUUUGGUUUCCAAUGUGUCUUUUUGCUGAUGAGCCACUAAGCAGAUCCUCAAUAAAUAAUUACUCAAUGAUAAA